rnacentral:lncRNA from 1 species
UUGAGAAAAAAUAAAUUAGGGACGAAGUUAAAAAUAAUUUUAGAAAGAAGGGGUGAAAUUUGAAUUCGUGGGGUGUUUUUGAAAGAAAAAUUAAAAAUAGGAGGUCAAAGUAUAAAUAAAAAAAGUUCGGCCACGUAGGAUCGCUUAGUCAGCAAUCUCGACGAACCAGAGCACACCGCGCAAUCAGGUGUGUUAACGUCGGCACUACACAGGAGGCCACACUGGCGAUCU